ACCCUGGUGGCUCAGGCAGUAAAGCAUCUGUCUACAAUGCAGGAGACCCAGGUUCGAGCCCUGGGUUGGGAA
rnacentral:tRNA from 1 species